AGCUUCCUUUCCCGCGCGGCCGCCCAGAGGAAAUGGCUCGCGGCGCUUUGUCAGCCGCGCCUGCGGGGCCGUGGCGCCGGCGCCCCGGGAGGUACAAUAAGUCCUGUGUGUUUUGAAGUUACAUGAAGCUAGUUUCAUUAGGACAAAUGUGUCCUAGAAGUUUGUCAUAGAAGAUGGCUGAAAAAACUGAGUAGGACCACAUGGGAGGUCCAAGUCCAUUAGCUGUGGGGGUUAAAAUAUGCAUUACCUGAAGUGAUUGCAACUUUUCAAGAAACAAUCUGAUAACUCCAAAUGACUAGGGAAUGUGGACUGCUACAUCUUGGAAGGAAAAGUGAAGAAUUGGUGAAAAGAAGAUGAACAGACGAAGAUUAAUUUACUGUUGUUAAACGCAAUAAAUAUAUGUAGAAAAUAAAUAAGUGGCUAGUUAUCUUAA